rnacentral:rRNA from 1 species
GCUACCAGGACCAAGGUCAGCAGCAGGCGCGAAAAUUAUCGAAGCCCGCCUAGGGGCGAUAGUGAGGAGACGUGUAUAACGAAGUACGUGUAAAGAACGUACUAAUAACUGGAGGUCAAGUCUGGUGCCAGCAUCCGCGGUAAUUCCAGCUCCAGGGGUGUCUAUGAUGAUUGCUGCGAUUAAAAAGUCCGUAGUCAAACUGACUGACUGACCUGCAAUGUGAUUGAUUAAAGAACGAGCAGGGUUAGGAAAGCAGAGAAUUAGGAGCGACCGAGGGCUAGAGUAUUGAAUGGCGAGAGGUGAAAUUUGAUGACCCAUUCAGGAGUGACAAAGGCGAAGGCACUAGUCAAGGGCGAAUCCGAUGAUCAAGGACGUAGGCUAGAGUUUCGAAAACGAUUAGAGACCGGAGUAGUUCUAGCAGUAAACUAUGCCGACGCCGUGAUAUUGUUUUUUGUGGCAGUAUUGCGGAAGAGAAAUCAAGUAAGGCUUUGGGGAGAGUACGCGCGCAAGCGAUAAAUUUAAAGGAAAUGACGGAGGAACACCACAA